CAUAUAACCCUCCAGUGUUGCCACUCUGCGACAUGCAACUUCAUUUUGUAAAUAUUUUGCUGCUCCCGGCACUUCUCCACAUUUGUGACAGUAUUUGACGUUAAAAAGUGUGUCUGUGAUAAAGAAAAAAAUCAGAACUUAUUUUUGUACAAAAAUGUCUCUAUUACGUUUCACAUUUUCGUUUGUGUACUCGUUGGUCGGAGUGUCCGGGUUUGGGGCUUUUAUCAUCCUUAACAAUUAUGCAGCUGCCAUAUUAGCCAUUAUCACAGGUUUUAUUAGUAUUAUUACAAGCCAUAUACAUUUCCUGGACUUUAAAAACAAAUUACCAGACUGGUACACGCCACAACAAUUGCGUCAAAUGAGUUCCUUUGGUAUUUAUUGUUUUGCAAUCAGUACCUCGGCGUUGGUUUACUUUUCUGUUAUUGAGAUAAUGCAAAAAAGGCCAAUUAUGCCAAUCGAAGACAGUGCUGUAAUUCCAAUGAUUUGGUGCUUAAUUACAUUAAAAAGUGGAUUGAUUUUGGCGUACUUUGGGAGGUAUUACAGUCGUCAGAACGAUCACAUAUCCAUAACUGAAGAACCUGCCACACAACCAAAUGAAGAGGCCGAAGAAAUUACACCGUAACAAGAUAUUUUAUUAUAGAUAUGUCCUAAUGCUCAAAUAUUUCAAAUUCUGUUACAGUGCUGUGUUAUUUUUAUAUUUAAUUAGAUAUUAAGGAUGUGUUUUUAUAAAAAUAAUUAAAAAAUAAUAAAAUAAACGACUUCGAAUAGAUCGAA